UACGUAGGGUGCGAGCGUUGUCCAGAAUUACUGGGCGUAAAGAGCUCGUAGGUGGUUUGUCGCGUUGUUCGUGAAAACCUGAGGCUUAACCUUGGGCGUGCGGGCGAUACGGGCAGACUGGAGUACUGCAGGGGAGACUGGAAUUCCUGGUGUAGCGGUGGAAUGCGCAGAUAUCAGGAGGAACACCGGUGGCGAAGGCGGGUCUCUGGGCAGUAACUGACGCUGAGGAGCGAAAGCGUGGGGAGCGAACAGG
rnacentral:rRNA from 1 species